rnacentral:rRNA from 1 species
UACGUAGGCAGCGAGCGUUGUUCGGAAUUACUGGGCGUAAAGAGCGUGUAGGCGGUUAGGUAGGUCCGUUGUGAAAACUCGAGGCUCAACCUCGAGACGCCGAUGGAAACCAUCUGACUAGAGUCCGGAAGAGGAGAGUGGAAUUCCUGGUGUAGCGGUGAAAUGCGCAGAUAUCAGGAAGAACACCCGUGGCUAAGGCGGCUCUCUAGUACGGUACUGACGCUGAGACGCGAAAGCGUGGGGAGCGAACAGG